UGGUCAUAUAUCUAGACAAAGUACCGCGGAUACUUUUUAGAUGACCCAAUAUAUAUAUAGAGGACUCUUUAUGCAUGGUCUACAAUGUGUAGUAACAGUAGCUGAUUAAAGAAUAGGCGUAGAAAUUGACUAAUCAUAGUUCAUUAUUUUUCUCACAUUCAACUAUAAUUGGUCGAUUUCUACGCCUACUCCUUAAUCAACUACUGCUAUUGCCCAUUGUAGACCAUGCAUUAAGCCCAUUCUACAAUGCAGUAGUAAGACUAUCGUAAGAGAGAGUAAAAUAUGGCGUAAAGCAUUAAGACCGAGAGUAAGCGAAAUGGGCGGAAUUAUGGCUUCUGCACUGGACUGCCGCGCGGCAAGUGUUUCCGCGUCCAAUGUAUAGGAGCCAUUAUUCCCAUUUACACCUUAUUACUUUACUUUGCUAACCAAUCAAAGCUUAUUAUGAGAUAAGGCGCGCAAGAACUUCUUACUUCCUACUGAUUAUUAUCAUAGUGGAAAUAUAUAAGCGUUAGUAUACUGGAACAGCCAAUCAAAUUUUACUCAAAAUUCACGCUGCUACUGCGCAAUCAUGGAAAUGGCUCACCUUUUAUAUUUAUUUCCACCAUACUGCUUACUAUCAUUGUAGAAUAGGUUGUACGAUUACGGACGACUGAAUCGAGCAACGCGAAAACCUACAUUGUGUUUAUGGUUACUGUUAUAGUUACGGAAAGUGUGUAUGACUAGUUUAAAGCGCAUGUCUAAAUCCGCAGCCUAAGAAUGUCAACAGAGUUGAAAUUCCGUGUAGUAGUUGCGCUGUUUUGCGAUAGCAACGCUGAAAUAUGUUACAUAAGGAUGUAUGUGUUGAGUGAGACAAAAUAUAAUGUAAGAAAUGAAUCAAAGCUGUCAGUAUUAUCGAAUUUGGAAUUAAAAAAAGUCUGCACUAUCAA